rnacentral:lncRNA from 1 species
CAAUUGGGCAAAUCUGAUUGGUUACACAAUUACGCUCUUGUUUACAUGCUGUAACCGUAAUUCUGUUUUUUCUGUUUGUUUAGAAUGGUUUAGAUUAGAAAAUUAAGGAAAAGUUUAAAAUUUUUGAGCUUUGAGCUUUCCUGUAUUCAGUGCGGUACGGUGUGAGCGUAACACUGAGCAUUUUUGAAAACUUGAGAUGUGUUUGAAGCGAAUAUCAAAAUUUUCUUUCAUAAUUUGUUGUUGAAUGUGCACUGUAAUCAACAGUAAGUAAGUGAAUCGAGAAAGUCACAUGUUCUAAGAUUUCACAUAAUUACCCUUCAAUCUUAUCUGAAACUGUUUGUGAGGCUCAAUAAUGGAUGCGUUCACAGAGAGGAUGGUGGAGCGAGCUCAAAAGCGUAAAGAGCGAUUGAAUACUCAUCUGAAGCAUCCUAAAGACAAUCUUUCAAAAGAAUCACUACAUCUGAAGGAAAACAAAAAUUUGCACGUCUCAGAUUUGGCAAGUGACAGAAUGAAAGGAAUACUGCAGAACGGUAGCAUAAGUGUUUCUUUGGACAAAACAGAGGAUACAGGUUUUGUCUUCAAAGCAAAUUCUGAACAAAACCCAGCUUCCUCUGCUGUAGGAGUGUCAUCCAUCAACCAUUUGCCCAAUUCAAAAAAAACUUUGCAACGGCAAAAAAUGAAACCAAUGGAACCUUUAAAUUCCUUCAAAAAGGCGUCUAUGAAGUGUAGAUUUUUAUCAGAAAUAGGAACCACAAGUGGGGUACCAAACUCACCUAAGAAAUCCAUCUCUAUAGAUCCUUGUGAGUUGAGCAUUGCUGACAGGAAAGCCCUUUUUGAGCGAAACAAAGGACAAGCACCAUUACCCAAAGCUCCCCACAGUCAAGCCUUACCAGCUCAAAAGAAGGAAAAUGGUAAGCCGCCAAUCGACCUCCCUGCAAAGCCCCCUCCGAUCCAUGUUGAAAAUAAGCUGAUUGAUCGCAAUAUACCAGCCCAAGAAAACAAAAUGCCCGGCCCAUCGCACCUGCCACCAUCACCUCCGCCGAAGCCUGAUCACUUAAGAGCUUUCUUAGAAAAGAUUGAAGCAGAUACAAAAAUUAAAAAAGCAGAUAUUUCUACCUCCAAUUUGGAACUCAAAGAUCAAGAUACAUCGUAUGAGUCUGUUGCAUCCAGUGAAAGCAGCCUUGGUCAGAAGAUUGUUAGAUUAGCACAAAAGAGAGGCAAGGAAAUUGAAGAGUCUAAGGUUAGUAUCAUCACUGUUUAUUUUACCAUUUGCACUCCAAGAGUUGGGUACAACAAGACCACUUUUGGGAAAUUUAGACCAGAGUUUCCAGCAUUAAGAAAAGAC